GUUUGUCUUCAAAACAUGCUGCAAAACCAAAAGUUCGUGACUUCGUGUCAAUUUUUCCAUUUGAUCUUGUUUGUCAAGCAGAUAACUUAAAAUAUUUAUUGUUUAUUCUCUAAAUUGAAGCAGUUUUGUUGUGGAGUUUCUAGUAAUUGUUUUUAUCACUGAGCAGUGAGCGAGUGAUGUGGGAAGGAAGCAGAUUGCGAAUGAGUGUAUAAUAACUAAUAAGACGUGGGCAUCAGGAACAGAAGAUUAUGGGGACAAAUCUUAAGCUCCUAGUUGAUAAUCUCGGCUUCAAAAUCUAUUGCACCAUUUAAACAAAGGAAAGCAAUGUUGAUGGUGUAGUCUUAUAAGUUCUCAUGGGGUCUCGUCUCAUCUGAAACAAAUUACAGGUCAAUGUUGCCUGGGAUUUUAAUAAAUCACACUUUUAUACAGUUGCACAAAAUACAAUGCUGAUAAUGAUGGCCAUCCGAACAUCAUUUUUGGUCAGUUACGUGUCAAGUUCUUCUCUGGCUGUCCAAUUUAAAGCCUCAAUCGCCGUCAAUUCUCAUGGGUUCCUCCGCCAUCAUAAUCUAAUACUGUUCUUACACUAUUCUAGUAAGGAUGGAAAUGCAGAUCUUUGACUUUACUUUGAGGAAAUAUU